CAGCAGCCACGGUAAUACGGAGGGUGCAAGCGUUAAUCGGAAUUACUGGGCGUAAAGCGCACGCAGGCGGUUAUAUAAGACAGAUGUGAAAUCCCCGGGCUCAACCUGGGAACUGCAUUUGUGACUGUAUAGCUAGAGUACGGCAGAGGGGGAUGGAAUUCCGCGUGUAGCAGUGAAAUGCGUAGAUAUGCGGAGGAACACCGAUGGCGAAGGCAAUCCCCUGGGCCUGUACUGACGCUCAUGCACGAAAGCGUGGGGAGCAAACAGGAUUAGAUACCCGGGUAGUCCCUGUCUCUUAUAC
rnacentral:rRNA from 1 species